CUGGAUACCAAUAUCUUGUGUCUUUUCACGUCAAUCACCCCAACCAUUAAUUAUAGCAAGUUUUCACAAAUUGAAAUGAAUUCUUAUCUACUACCAUUUGUUUCCCAACCUUUCAUUUCUUCAUUUGCUUAGUCCGAAGGCUUUAGCCGAGGGUUCUCCAACACUUGACGAGCCGAAUCUGGAAUUCCUCCCAUCAGGUAAAAACUCUCUCUUCUCUUAGGGCCUCCUUUGCGAUAACAUGUGCGCAGAUAUUCUCUGCUUUAGGGAGAUAAUAGAACUCGAUCUCCUGGAAUCUAUCUUUUCUGCUUUGAAUAUCCCUGAUAAUGGCUCCAAUGACCGAUUUAUCUAUACUAGUACUCUGGCAUUUCUUAAUGACAGUUUUCGAGUCCCCCACUUCUUUUAUUUUAUUUAAUCCCAUAAGAAUCCCUAAUUUUACUGCCUGUAACCCUGCAUAUGCCUCUGCCAUGAAUGGAGUUGCUGUUUCGGAGUGUAUGACUGCUUUUGAUGCAAAGAUCUCUCCCUCCUCAUUCCGUACAAGCAAACCCGUAGCCGAUCUGGACGAUUAACAGUCAAAUGCUGCAUCAAAAUUAACUGUGACCCUUCCUCUUCUACAUGCCUGUUGGGUAUUUUCAGCAGAUUAAAGAGUAAGUUUUCUCUCUUUUAUUGUAUCCAACUCUGCGAUAUAGUUUCGAGUUUGCCUUGCUAUUUUGAUUCUUGUCGUAUUUCUUCUUUCAUAUAGUAAUCGGUUUUUGCUGAACCAGAUUAACCAGAGUCCACAACAAAAAGUCAGAUUUGCUUAGUAGUCCCUUGGUCGAAGAUCCAGUUAAACCAUUCCCAUAUAUUCAGAUUGUUAUGGUUUAAUACCCAUGUUAGACUUAACUGGUUCCAUACCUCAACUAUUGUAGGGCACUGUUGAAAAAUAUGAAUGCUGUCUUCUUCUCUUUGGCGACAUCGAGGGAAUUGAGCUUCCACCACAACCUUCUUGAGCCUUAUAUUGACAAGGGACGGAAUGAAGUUCCAUGCAAAUCACCAUACCGUAAUCCGUAUUUUUGAGGGGAUGUAUAAUUUCCAUAGUUUCCUAUAAAAGGUUUUAAUUUCAGCAUGUAAAGUAAAAUUAUUAGGAUCCAAGCUAGUUUCAUGUAAUAGUUUAUAGGGACUCGUAACGGAGAAUUCCCCUGUCAACUCCCCUCUCCAUACUUGAAAAUCCUCGUGUGUUGUCUCUGCUAGUGAAAUCUUUAAGAUUUUUUUUUCUAUAUCCAUUCAAAAGGUAUUCCUUACGACCUUUGUUUUCCAGCUUCUAUUAUUGGCUUCUAUUAGAUCCGACACUAACUUGAUAUUUUCAAUGUUAUCUUGAUACGGUACUCUAUCUUCUUCGUUUCUUGAUAUCCACAAAUCAUCCCAAACAGAUAUUUGAUCACCUCUCCCAACCCUCUUGCAUAAGCCUUUCUCCAAAAGCCCUCUCGCGGCCCAAACACUCUUCCAGGUGAGCGAAGGUAAAUUUUCUAACCGAGCUUUGUAGAAAUUUGAAUUAGGAUAAUAUUUUGCCUUCAAAACGUGAGCUAAUAUUGAAUUUGGAUAAUUAACAAGACGCCAUCCUUGCUUUGCUAAUAACGCAAUAUUAAACUUCGCAAGAUCUCGAAAACCAAGGCCACCUCCUUCUUUUAAUAAGCAUAGAUCUUUCCAAGCACACCAAUGAAUACAUUUCCUAUUACGACCCUUUUGCCACCAGAAUUUGGCUAUUAUCCUUUCCAAUUCAGAACAUGGAACCUUAGGAAGUAAAAAGCAAGACAUCGUAUAAGUUGGGAUAGAUUGGAGUAUAGCUUUGAUAAAAACUUCCUUCCUUCCCUGGGAGGGAUAUUUUAUACUCCAAAUGUCAAUUCAUUAUUUAUAUUUAUCCAUCAAAUUUUGAAAAACGACCGCUUCCUUCUACCCACCAUAUUGGGAACUACUGGAUAUCGUUCCGGAUCAGUUGAUUUUCUUACUCCAAGAAUCUGUGAAACUACAACCUUUUCCUUUUCUUAUGUAUUGGUACUGAAGAAAACAGACGAUUUAUCAUAAUUGACACAUUGGCCUGAACUCAUAUCAUACUCAUUCAAGAUUUGUUUUAGAGAAUGUGCUUCCCUUUCAGUAGUUUCUGCAAAUAAGAUACAGUCAUCGGCAAAGAGUAGAUAAGAGAUGGCUGGCCCACUUCGACUAGCUUUAACUUCUUUAAGGAUGUUUCUUGCUUUUGCAAGCCUCAUUAGACUUGAGAGCCCUUCCCCACAAAAUAAAAAUAAAAACGGACUUAAAGGGUCUCCUUGUCUAAGGCCUCUAGAUAGAAGAAAAGUUUCUCCUAUAUUUCCAUUUAAAACUAUAGAAUAUGAUACUAUAGACACACAUUUUAUUAACAAAUCAACCCAUCCUAGAUCAAAUCCCAUUUUCUUCAUUACCCCCUCCACAAAAUUCCAUUCAACCCUAUCAUUGGCCUUACUUAUGUCCAGUUUCACAGCCAUAAGCCCUUUUUUCCCUCUCUGUUUGUGUUUUAAAGUGUGCAGAAUUUCAUAUGCUAGUAGCACAUUAUAGAAAAUCAGCCUCCCUGGAACAAAAGCACUUUGUGCUGAAUCGAUACAUUUAUGAAUCACUACCCGAAGCGAUUAGCAAUGACCUUAGCUAUCAAUUUAUAAAGCACAUUGCAUAAACUAAUUGGUCUAAAUUGUGAAAUACUGGAAGGAUUCGUAAUUUUUGAGAUUAACAUAAUAUUUUACUUUACAAAAAUUUAUAUAAUUUUAAUUACAAUUAAAUAGUGUAAAAUUUCAAAAUUAUGAAUAUGGAAUAAGAUUUUUACUUUACAAAAAUGAAAAUAAAUAUUUAAUAGAUAAUUCUUUUAGUAUAAAUAUAUAUUUAAUGAAUUUUUAAUAAUUUAUUUUUUAAAUUUUGUACAUAUAGAAAAAAAAAACUUUUCUAUGACAUAGUUCCAGUAUUUUAAUUUAUUUUUCUUAUAACUUUAAAGUAUAUUUUUUAAAUAUAAUAUGAAGGUUAAAUAAACUAAUGUAAUUUUAAAACUUUAAAUAAUAAAUAUUUUUAAUUAUUGGCAAUUUAAAUUUAUUUUGAUCAUUAAAUUAAAUUUCUUUUUAAUUAUUUUAAAUUGUUUCAAAAUUGUACCUAUUUCUUUUAUAUUUAAUAAAUAAUAGCUUAUUAUUAAAAUUUUAAAAGCAAAUAAUCAUAAAUUAUUAGUCACUUUUGUUUACCUCAGGCUACAUUUUAGUUAAUUACGUUAUCGCAUUGUAAUAUUUUAGUCACUUGCGUUAUCGCAUUUUAACAUUUUAGUCACUGAAUUUUUAAUGGUGUAAUGGUAAGCUAAUGUGGCACGUUAAAUCAUCAUUUUAAACAAAAAUUUUAGGUUAAUUUAUACAAUCGGUCCCUGUAUUUUUUCGUUUUAAGCAAUUUACUUUUUUAUUUUAUGUGCUUUUAACUUUCUUUCUUUUUUUCUUUAUUUUCCAUUCUUUUCUAUUUCUCCCUCUAUUUUCCUUCAUUCUCCAUUUCUUUUAACGUAGUUUUUCUAUGUUUUCCAUUUGUUAAAACUAGUCCCCUAUACUUUUAGUUUUUUGAACAAUUUAAUUUUUUGAGUGAGACAAGUUUGCGAACUAGUUUUAACAAAUGAAAAACAUAGAAAACUACAUUAAAUGAAAUGGAGAAGGGAGGAAAAUAGAGGGAGAAGCAAAAGAGAAUGGAAAAUGAAGAAAAAAAAAGAAAGUUAAAAGAACAUAAAAGAAAAAAAUUUAAAUUGCUCAAAAUGAACAAAAUAUAGUGACCAAUUGUAGAAUUUAACCAAAAAUUUUCAUUUGAAAUGAUAAUUUAACAUGCCACGUAAGCAUACUGUUAUACUGUUAAUGGUAAUUAACGACUCAGUGACUAAAAUGUUACAACACAAUAACGUAAGUGACUAAAACAUAACAUUUCAAACAAAAAUAACUAAAAUGCAACCCGAGGCAAAUAAAAAUGACAAUUUUGGUAGUUUAACCUUUUAUUUAUAUGGUUAUUUAUAUAUAUAUAUAUUUCUUUUUUAUUAUUAAGUUAUAUUUAAAUAUGUUGGUAUACUUAAAUUAAGAUUUAAUAAUAUUUAUAAUGUCUUUUUGUUGUAUUAAAAUUUAUUAAUAAUAAUAUUAAAUUAUAAGAUAAUUAUUUUAUUAUUUAUUAAUAUUUUAAGUAAUUAAAAUUUUUGUGUAUAUAUUAAAAAAAUAAAAUGCAUCCCAUGGGUAACAAGCUAAUAUAAUAGUAUAUUAUAGUAAAAGCCUUUGAUAGAAUCCUAUAAUGAUGACAAAAACUCUUAUAGGUAUAUUUUACUAAAUUAAUUAAAAUAAUGAAGGUUAACAUUUACUUAUUAUUAUUUUUGUUUACCUUAUCUCUGAAAAAAAAAGUAAUAAAAUUUUAAUUCCAUAAUUGAUAUAUGGAAUAAUUUUUUCGCCAAAUUUUCAUUUAUGAAUAUUGAACUUUUAAAAUGCUUUUAUGGAGAAGAUAUUCACCUUUAAAUUUCCAUAAUCUAUAAUUUGCUUAAGAUUUAUAUUUUGAUCUAUAUGUAUAGGUUUAAUAUCAAUGUAUAUUAAUUUUAGUACAAUAUAAAAAUUACUUUAAUAUUACAUAUAUUUUUUAAUAUAUUAUUUGUCAAAUACUUUAGUUUAAUUUCUUACUUAUAUUAUUUUUAAACCGCUUAAUUUUAAAAAUAAUAAUAUGAAUUAAUUUAAUAUAUUUUAAUUAUUAAAUACAAUAAAUUUUAUUUAAUAUUUUAGUUAUAGUGUAAAGGCUAAAUUAAUUAUUAACCAUUGAGUUAAUGCACCAUACUAUCAUUUUGUUAAGGGGUAAUGAAAAUUAAUGGAUGAGUGAAAAAAUAUAAUAAUAUAAUAAUACUGGUGACCAUUAUAUAUAUAACUUUUGAAUAUUGGUUAACCGAAAUAUAAUCUUAACUUUAAUCAAGUGACCAUUUCAAUAAUUUACCAUUUAAAAUUAUAAAAGAAGAAGAAGAAGAUAGAUUUGCCCAACUAUAUAAAAGAGUCAAGCUGUGACAUCAUCAUCAUUUUUAAAAUAUAUAUAUAAGCUGAGUUUUUGACGAAAUUUGGAAAAAUUGUUGGCCAAAUGACUAAAACUAUAUAUUUAGAAAAGUAAAUAAAAAUAAAAAUAUCAAUUUAUAAUAAAAAAAGUAAAAUAAAAAGGUUCUCUAAAAAAUUUGACCCACUAAAAAUUGCUACAAAUUUUAGGCCAUGGAACAAAAUGAAUGUACCUGAUAAUGAUUGUUGCUUCUAAUCUUAAGUAAGAAUACGUAGGACUUUCGUGAGUGGGCGUUGUGGCUUGGUCCCUUAUAAAUCUAUUCAUGGACUGGGUAGGGUUAUUUAUGGAUCGGCUAAGAUGUUUAUCUUACUAGGUCUAAACUAAUAUUUACAUAAUAAAGUUGAUUUUUUUUUAAUUUUUCAUCCAUUUUAAACUUAUGUAUAAUAUUUAUUAUAGAAUUUAUCUUUUAAUUUUUUUUUUGUUUCAAACAGGCAAAACAAUCUAUCCGAACCCAGCCCAUGUUUGGUCUCAAUAAAGUCUAAAAAAGAAAAAAAGAUCUUUAAACAGUUGGGUGUAUCCUACUCAAUGUUCAAUGCGAGAGAAAGAGAUCAUACUUUCCAAGAGUUCAAUACAAUAAGAGGGUAAAUUGAAGGGUUGCAAUGACGAAUGAAGAUGAUGGAACAACACGAGGAUGCUUAGAACACAAAUAGAAGGCAAAAUGUCAAUAAGCACGAAGCUGAGGAAAUUUCCCAAGCAUCACACCUCCAUAGGUGUAAUAAUGUUUCUCCACUUCCAUUUCCACGGCAAGAUAAUAUGAACGAUUUAAAGAAGAAGAAGAAGUCGAUUUGCUUUGUAGAUACAGUAUUCCAUCCAUAUUUGAUGUGCUAUUUUGGAAUACGAUAUGCCCACUAAACUUGAUUUUAAUCAUUGAAAUCCAAAGCCCAUAAAAUAUUUCAUAUGUUGGAAUUAAUCAUGUUUUGGGAUAGUCUUUGGUUUGGGCCUGAUACGUUUAUUGAACUCGUUCUAUCAAUUUUGCAAUUUUAUUUUCAUUGUUUUGGG
rnacentral:lncRNA from 1 species